rnacentral:tRNA from 1 species
GGGCGGCUAGCUCAGUUGGUUAGAGCGUUGCUUUCACACGGCAGAGGUCACAGGUUCGAAUCCCGUGCCGCCCA